CAUAUCGGCAAAACAACCUUGAAGUUUGUACCCAUCCCGAAAUCGCUCAACGCGCCUAAAGAAGUUU